GGAGGUUGGCUUAGAAGCAGCCAUCCUUGAAAGAGUGCGUAAUAGCUCACUGGUCAAGUGAUCGUGCGCCGACAAUGUAGCGGGGCUCAAGCACACCGCCGAAGCCGCGGACCCAUGACGUUGUUCCCUUCACUGUCCCACUUGUUGGGGUGGUGGCAGGGGUUGUGGGUGGUAGGGGAGCGUCCUGCACCGGGGGAAGCCUGUGGGUGACUGCUGGUGGACGGUGCGGGAGUGAGAAUGCAGGCAUGAGUAGCGAUACUAGGGUGAGAAGCCCUAGCGCCGAAUGACCAAGGGUUCCAGGGCCAGGCUAGUCCGCCCUGGGUGAGUCGGGACCUAAGGCGAGGCCGACAGGCGUAGUCGAUGGAUGACGGGUUGAUAUUCCCGUACCGGCGAAGCACCGCCCAUGCUGACGCGCGGGUGCUAACCCACGCCCAGCCACCAAGUUCAGCUGCGCCUACUCCUUUCGGGGGGUGGUGUGGUUGUGGUGGUGGGGUCUGGGGAUCCUCCGUGCAGGUAGGCAAGCGUGUUAACAGGGGUGACGCACAGUGGUAGCCCGGCGGACCUGAUGGCUUGGUCCGUUCAAGCGCGCAGCCCGUCCUCCAGGUAAAUCCGGAGUGGCUGUCUUUGAUGACGGGGGUGAGGCGUGAUGGUGACCCCACGCUGGUGGGGGAUAACAGGGUGAUCCUGGGGUGCCGAGAAAAGCCUCGACGCGAUGGUGCCAGCCGCCCGUACCCUAAACCGACACAGGUGGUCGGGCAGAGUAUGCCUAGGCGCACGAGUGAAUCAUGGUUAAGGAACUCGGCAAAAUGCCCCCGUAACUUCGGGAGAAGGGGGGCCCGAUCCCUGAAACAGCUGGCCUGUUAGGGGGGAGGGUCGCAGAGGCCAGGGGGAAGCGACUGUUUACUAAAAACACAGGUCCGUGCGAAGCCGUAAGGCGAUGUAUACGGACUGACGCCUGCCCGGUGCUGGAAGGUUAAGAGGAACCAUCAACCCCCUCCUUUGUGGGGUGAAGUGGUGAAUUUAAGCCCCAGUAAACGGCGGUGGUAACUAUAACCAUCCUAAGGUAGCGAAAUUCCUUGUCGGGUAAGUUCCGACCUGCACGAAUGGCGUAACGACUUCCCCGCUGUCUCAACCAUGAGCUCGGCGAAAUUGCAGUACGAGUAAAGAUGCUCGUUUCGCGCAGAAGGACGGAAAGACCCCGGGACCUUUACUACAGCUUGGUAUUGGCGCCCGCUAUAGCUUGUGCAGGAUAGGUGGGAGACUGUGAAGCCGUUACGCCAGUAGCGGUGGAGUCGUCCUUGAAAUACCACUCUGGUUAUGGCGUGCGCCUGAACCUGGGCCCGUGAUCCGGGUCAGGGACAGUGCCUGGUGGGUAGUUUAACUGGGGCGGUU
rnacentral:rRNA from 1 species